GAUGAACGCUAGCUACAGGCUUAACACAUGCAAGUCGAGGGGUAACAAGAGAAAAGCUUGCUUUUCUUGUUGACGACCGGCGCACGGGUGAGUAACGCGUAUCCAACCUGCCUAUAACUAGGGAAUAACCUUGCGAAAGUAAGACUAAUACCCUAUGAUUUCCUUUGAUGACAUCAGAUUAGGAAUAAAGAUUUAUCGGUUAUAGAUGGGGAUGCGUCUGAUUAGCUUGUUGGCGGGGUGACGGCCCACCAAGGCAACGGUCAGUAGGGGUUCUGAGAGGAAGGUCCCCCACAUUGGAACUGAGACACGGUCCAAACUCCUACGGGAGGCAGCAGUGAGGAAUAUUGGUCAAUGGGCGGAAGCCUGAACCAGCCAAGUAGCGUGCAGGAUGACGGCCCUAUGGGUUGUAAACUGCUUUUAUACAGGAAUAAAGUUAGCCACGUGUGGUUAUUUGUAGGUACUGUAUGAAUAAGGACCGGCUAAUUCCGUGCCAGCAGCCGCCGUAA
rnacentral:rRNA from 1 species